rnacentral:rRNA from 1 species
GACGAACGCUGGCGGCGUGCUUAACACAUGCAAGUCGAGCGGUAAGGCCCUUUCGGGGGUACACGAGCGGCGAACGGGUGAGUAACACGUGGGUGACCUGCCCUCAGCUCUGGGAUAAGCCUGGGAAACCGGGUCUAAUACCGGAUAUGACUCCAUGACGCAUGUUGUGGGGUGGAAAGCCUUGUGCGGCUGAGGAUGGGCCCGNGGCCUAUCAGCUUGUUGGUGGGUGAUGGCCUACCAAGGCGACGACGGGUAGCCGGCCUGAGA